CUUGCAGAUUAUUUCUCCUCUGUUUUCGCUGCAGAACAUUGCUAGAGUUUGGGGUGUUUCUCUUUCAUUUGGAGUCACUUUCUCCCCUUUUUCUGGUUUGUCUUGCAAUGUAGGAGUAUGGUGUAAGUUUAGGAGAUACAUGAAGGAAAUAAGAGUUGAUUGUUCUUGUGGGUAGAAAACUUGAAGGGGAUUGAGGAGUGA